rnacentral:misc_RNA from 1 species
GGCCCUUGGCUGUUUACUCUUUCGGAUAUGCUACUUCAAGUCUGCAUUUGAUGGUGAAUCAAAACUUCAAGUUUUAAAUGGCAAUUACCGGAUUCCAGAAUUACCAAAAUACAGCACUUCCAUCAUAGACCUAAUAAGAGAUAUGCUUCAGUCAUCACCAGAUGCCAGACCAGAUAUCACGCAGGUGUGGUUCCGUGUUAAUGGUCUGUUGCCAGAUGAGCUUCAAAAGUCGUUACCCGAAAGACCCCCUGAAAUGCAGCAACAGGGUAUUGAUGGGCAUGAAGGAUUUCCAAGAGCUGCUGGUAAGACCAGUCCAAUGCCUAGCAGAAAUCCUCCGCCACCUCCUUCGGCUGCUGAACCUAAUCAUAAUGCAUCGCCUGCAUCACAUAAUUCAAAAGCCGGUGGAGCUACUGGUCCAAUCGGUGCAUUCUGGAAUACUCAGCAUGCAACCAAUGCCUCUGUUUCUGAGGAGACAAGCAGACCCAAAUUUGACGAAGAGAUAAGGCACAGUUCCUCAGUCCAUGACAAGAGUCAUCCCAAUAAGGUUUCUGUUUCUAAUCGAAAUAGCCCUUUGAAAGAGGAAAGUCUCAGCUCCCACCCGAUGCAAAAUAAUGUGCGACCAAAACUAACCAAUAGAGCAGGGGAAGCCCCAUCAAGGGAUUUUGAGAUAAACUUUUUCCAGGAUGGUUCAGGUCAGAGUGUUGGGAAUAAUAAAUCGUCAAAGUUAGAGGGGCCAACUGCCCCCCAAGGUGAAGGAUUCAAUUCUUUUGUUGCGGAAUUCUGUAUCAAUAAACCUAGCCCUGGAAAUAACACUAAACAAACGGAGAAGAAAGAGCUCAUGGAAGCUGAGGUUGAGAAGUUGAAGCAACAGCUGUCACGAGCCAACAUGGAGAAGGCUGAAAUAACAUCUAAAUAUGAAAAGCUAUCUGCAAUAUGCCGAUCACAGCGACAGGAGUUACAAGAGCUUAAGCAAGCUCUUGCUGCCAGAACUCCAUCACCACAUGUAGACACCACGAGGGACCACCACGCAUCUCCUGGAAGUCAACCAUCCAGUACUCCACCGAAAAAAGAUAACAUUGAAGGAACAGUUUGGGAACUUCAGCAAGGAUUAUUUGGCCAGAGUCAGGUGAGCUCAGAUUCAAAAUCCUGGCAAGCAUUUGCGGAUGAUCCAAAGCAACAAGCUACUCCAGUUAAUUCUACUCCUAGAUCUGUCAGGACAAAAAAUGGCCACCAGAACAGAGAGACAUCUGAAACUAAUACAUCAGCAUUUGGAACGGAUAGCUUUAGAGCUGUGCCGGCUUUCAGCUCUCAGAUAAAGGCCACUUUCAAUGAGUCGAAAAAUUCUCAGCGUUUUGGUGAACCAAAGAAUAUUGAUAGCAAAUCAGCGUCCCAACCUGCUGGAUGGGCAGGUUUCUAAAAGAUGUUAUAGCUAAACUUAGUACGUCCGGCAAGGCAGUCAAUUUUACAAUUUGAGAUUUCCUUUACAAGAUACUCUUCCUAUUAUGGAAGAAUGAAUUCCGGGGGAUGUAAAACAUACAAUUGUCCAGUUGUUUUGAGCUCUUGGUUGUUUUGUGUAGAUUUUGAACCUAUUAUAUCA